GAUGAACGCUGGCGGCGUGCCUAAUACAUGCAAGUCGAGCGAACAGACGAGGAGCUUGUUCCUCUGACGUUAGCGGCGGACGGGUGAGUAACACGUGGAUAACCUACCUAUAAGACUGGGAUAACUUCGGGAAACCGGAGCUAAUACCGGAUAAUAUAUUGAACCGCAUGGUUCAAUAGUGAAAGACGGUUUUGCUGUCACUUAUAGAUGGAUCCGCGCCGCAUUAGCUAGUUGGUAAGGUAACGGCUUACCAAGGCGACGAUGCGUAGCCGACCUGAGAGGGUGAUCGGCCACACUGGAGCUGAGACACGGUCCAGACUCCUACGGGAGGCAGCAGUAGGGAAUCUUCCGCAAUGGGCGAAAGCCUGACGGAGCAACGCCGCGUGAGUGAUGAAGGUCUUCGGAUCGUAAAACUCUGUUAUUAGGGAAGAACAAAUGUGUAAGUAACUAUGCACGUCUUGACGGUACCUAAUCAGAAAGCCACGGCUAACUACGUG
rnacentral:rRNA from 1 species